AGGUUGGCUUAGAAGCAGCCAUCCUUUAAAGAAAGCGUAAUAGCUCACUAGUCGAAUCGGCCUGCGCGGAAGAUAUAACGGGGCUCAAACUAUACACCGAAGCUACGGACGCAUGCUUGCAUGCGUGGUAGAGGAGCGUUCUGUAGGCCGUUGAAGGGAAAGCUGAGAGGCAUCCUGGAGGUAUCAGAAGUGCGAAUGCUGACAUGAGUAACGAUAAGGGGAGUGAAAAGCUCCCCCGCCGGAAGACCAAGGUUUCCUAUCCAAUGCUAAUCAGGGUAGGGUGAGUCGGCCCCUAAGGCGAGGCUGAAGAGCGUAGUCGAUGGGAAGCAGGUUAAUAUUCCUGCACCACUCAAUAUUGCGAAGGAGGGACGGAGAAGGCUAGUCCAGCGCGGCGUUGGUUGUCCGCGUUUAAGCGUGUAGGCUUAAAUCUUAGGUAAAUCCGGGAUUUUUUAAGGCUGAGGCGUGAUGACGAGGUCCAUUAGGACUGAAGUGGUUGAUGCCAUGCUUCCAGGAAAAGCUUCUAAGCAUCAGAUAUUGAGUGACCGUACCCCAAACCGACACAGGUGGUCAGGUAGAGAAUACCAAGGCGCUUGAGAGAACUCGGGUGAAGGAACUAGGCAAAAUGGUACCGUAACUUCGGGAGAAGGUACGCCGCUGAUGGUGAUGGGACUUGCUCCCUAAGCUGUUGGCGGCCGAAGAUACCAGGUGGCUGCGACUGUUUAUUAAAAACACAGCACUGUGCAAACACGAAAGUGGACGUAUACGGUGUGACGCCUGCCCGGUGCCGGAAGGUUAAUUGAUGGGGUUAGCUUCGGCGAAGCUCUUGAUCGAAGCCCCGGUAAACGGCGGCCGUAACUAUAACGGUCCUAAGGUAGCGAAAUUCCUUGUCGGGUAAGUUCCGACCUGCACGAAUGGCGUAACGACGGCCACACUGUCUCCACCCGAGACUCAGUGAAAUUGAAAUCGCUGUUAAGAUGCAGUGUAUCCGCGGCUAGACGGAAAGACCCCGUGAACCUUUACUAUAGCUUCACAGUGAACUUUGAACCUAUUUGUGUAGGAUAGGUGGGAGGCUUUGAAACUGGGACGCUAGUCUCAGUGGAGCCAAACUUGAAAUACCACCCUGGUAUGUUUGAGGUUCUAACUCAGGUCCGUAAUCCGGAUCGAGGACACUGUGUGGUGGGUAGUUUGACUGGGGCGGUCUCCUCCCAAAGAGUAACGGAGGAGCACGAAGGUAUGCUAAUCAUGGUCGGAAAUCAUGAGGUUAGUGCAAUGGCAUAAGCAUGCUUAACUGCGAGACAGACACGUCGAGCAGAUACGAAAGUAGGUCAUAGUGAUCCGGUGGUUCUGAAUGGAAGGGCCAUCGCUCAACGGAUAAAAGGUACUCCGGGGAUAACAGGCUGAUA
rnacentral:rRNA from 1 species